rnacentral:rRNA from 1 species
UACGUAGGUGGCAAGCGUUGUCCGGAAUUACCGGGUGUAAAGGGAGCGCAGGCGGGAAGCCAAGUCAGCUGUGAAAACUACGGGCUUAACUUGUAGACUGCAGUUGAAACUGGUUUUCUUGAGUGAAGUAGAGGUUGGCGGAAUUCCGAGUGUAGCGGUGAAAUGCGUAGAUAUUCGGAGGAACACCGGUGGCGAAGGCGGCCAACUGGGCUUUAACUGACGCUGAGGCUCGAAAGUGUGGGGAGCAAACAGG